rnacentral:rRNA from 1 species
UGAGCAAUCUGCCCUUCUCAUCGGAAUAAGCGUUGGAAACGACGUCUAAUGCCGAAUACGACCUCCUUUCGCAUGAUCGGAGGUGGAAAGCUCCGGCGGAGAAGGAUGAGCUCGCGGCCUAUCAGCUAGUUGGUGUGGGUAAUGGCCCACCAAGGCGAUGACGGGUAGCCGGCCUGAGAGGGCGACCGGCCACACUGGGACUGAGACACGGCCCAGACUCCGUAGGGAGG